rnacentral:tRNA from 1 species
GCCGGUGUGAUGGAAUUGGCAGACGUGCCGGACUCAAAAUCCGGUGGUGGUGACACCGUACCGGUUCGACCCCGGUCACCGGCACCA